CGCGCGCUACUCUGGUUUAAAUAAAUGAUUACAAAGCCCAGCCGAAUUGUAAUCAAGACCCAACGCUUCGACACUCCAGUCUAGUGUCUUCAUCAGGGGUGAUCUAAAACUGCGAUCGUGGCUUCUUAAAUACCCAAGGGAUGACGUCACCUGCCAAGAAGAUGCAUAUAUUCCUCUGGCAAAUAGGCGCCGUCAUCCCUAUUCAAAGCAUGAUAACUC
rnacentral:lncRNA from 1 species